CGGACGGGUGAGUAAUGCUUGGGAAUCUGGCUUAUGGAGGGGGAUAACUACGGGAAACUGUAGCUAAUACCGCGUAAUAUCUUCGGAUUAAAGGGUGGGACUUUCGGGCCACCUGCCAUAAGAUGAGCCCAAGUGGGAUUAGGUAGUUGGUGGGGUAAAGGCCUACCAAGCCGACGAUCUCUAGCUGGUCUGAGAGGAUGACCAGCCACACUGGAACUGAGACACGGUCCAGACUCCCUACGGAGGCAGCAGUGGGGAAUAUUGCACAAUGGGGGGAACCCUGAUGCAGCCAUGCCGCGUGAAUGAAGAAGGGCUUCGGGUUGUAAAGUUCUUUCCGUGAUGAGGAAGGUGGUUGUUUUAAUAGAGCAAGCCAUUGACGUUAGUCACAGAAGAAGCACCGGCUAACUCCGUGCCAGCAGCCGCGGUAAUACGGAGGGUGCGAGCGUUAAUCGGAAUGACUGGGCGUAAAGGGCA
rnacentral:rRNA from 1 species